CCGGAUGCCAUAAUGGAUCCGGUUGGACAUUAGGGCGUCAGCUCUUUCGUUCGCUGACGCUUCUCGUGCCCAGAUUGCUCAACAAGGAGGAUUUGGAAAUGAGAA
rfam:Erythrobacter longus strain DSM 6997 contig1, whole genome shotgun sequence.